rnacentral:rRNA from 1 species
AUUGAACGCUGGCGGCAUGCCUUACACAUGCAAGUCGAACGGUAGAGGGGGCAACCCCUCGAGAGUGGCGAACGGGUGAGUAAAGCAUCGGAACGUGCCCAGUAGUGGGGGAUAGCCCGGCGAAAGCCGGAUUAAUACCGCAUGAGACCUACGGGUGAAAGGGGGGGAUCGCAAGACCUCUCGCUAUUGGAGCGGCCGAUGUCAGAUUAGGUAGUUGGCGGGGUAAAGGCCUACCAAGCCGACGAUCUGUAGCUGGUCUGAGAGGACGACCAGCCACACUGGGACUGAGACACGGCCCAGACUCCUACGGGAGGCAGCAGUGGGGAAUUUUGGACAAUGGGCGCAAGCCUGAUCCAGCCAUGCCGCGUGCGGGAAGAAGGCCUUCGGGUUGUAAACCGCUUUUGUCAGGGAAGAAAUCCUUUGAGCUAAUACCUCGGGGGGAUGACGGUACCUGAAGAAUAAGCACCGGCUAACUACGUGCCAGCCGCCGCCGUAAUAC